ensembl:lncRNA
CAUUUAUUAGUUGGGGAAGUGAGGGGUAGGAAGCCAUUUUCUCCCACUCAGCCAGGCCCCAUGGCCAGGACAGCACUCAGGACGGCCCUCGGCCUCCAGCUCUGCACAAAGAACUGAGCACUGAGGGCCAGCACUGCCCCACGCAGCCCCUUCAAACCCAGGCAGAGCCAACUCUCCAGCAGCCACAUUCCUGGCGUGCCAUGCAGGCAGCACAAGGCCACCUCGCACUGCUGGCCUGCCCUAAUCCUGCCUCACCGAGGUCAACAAACAGGGAAUUAGCAGCACUUAACUCAGUGACCUCCACAAGGCCACGGCUCUCCUGCUCACAGCGCUGCUGGAGCUGCAGGGGAGCAUCUCUGUCGUUUCUGCGGGCCUCUGUCCACGUCUGACCAAAAAAACAUCACCACCCUCUUUAGAGCAGACAGAAAGGCAGGUGUGGCUCCCACUGGCAUCUGAGCUUCAUGCUUAUACGCUCGACUUCCUUGUUGUUUUCACUUCAGUCUCACAUGCGGUUUCAUGCUGAGCCCAUUUCUCUCUGCGCUCCCACACGCUUCUUCCUCCUGCUGUGUGGAUGGAGCAGACACCUGCCCGGCCAAAGGCAAACCCUGCAAAGCCCACGUGGUUUGAUUUCAGUGGAAUUGGUGUGGUUGCCCUUGACAGGAACACACAGAUGGAGGUAAACUUGGAACAACUUGUGACAUGGAAUCUUUGACGCCUGAUUUAAUUGCUGAUGAAGGUUGGUUUGUGCCAAAGUACUUCUCUAUGAAUCACAGUGGCUGAGGUGGGAUGGACGUUUUGUUCAGCUGCCCUGCUGUGGAGCCAGACCUCCUGGUGCACGGCCUGGGUGGACGGCUGAGCUUGGAACCCUUCAAACCAACACCGGAGCUGCUGCUGUUCCUCCUGCUGCCAAGAGCUCAAUUGUUGCACAGAUACUGGAGAUCUAUUGCCUAUUCAGAAGGCAGGGUGAAUUAUUCUUUGGUAUUUGCAGAACUAUGGCAACAGCCAAAAAUGUAAGAGGUGUAUUCGGGAUGAGAUGACCAAGAGAGUGAACAAAGCAAGCAAGCUGUUACAAGUAAUCUCUGAAACUGCGUGGGACAUCGCAACGUCUGGGAUGUCUGCUGGCACUGCAGAAAAGGACCGGAUUGCGAUGGGAGCUUCCCAGUACAGAGAGCUGAGCUCCUGUGUGCUGUGUCUGGUCCUGCUUUGCCACGCUGGACCCAGAUGAAAGCUGCUCCCAUCACACAGCAGAUGAAUACCAACUUGCGGCAUAGCGAGGACACCACCAGACAAAGCACAGAGCUCCUGGGCAGCGUCCCAGCUCUGAGCAGUGUGCAGCAGGCAGGUGGCUGCUGAGAAGUGGGAUUCCUUAGGUGUGGUGCAGCCGCAUCCACGUGCUGGCACUGCCCAUCCUGCUUGUUGACAUUGCAUGCGCAAAUCACAGGUGUGACAUCCGUAUGUUUCCUAAACAAUGUGUUGAAAGCAUGGUGGCUCGGGAGGGAUUUGUACAGCAGAGAGCAAGU